GACGAACGCUGGCGGCGUGCUUAACACAUGCAAGUCGAGCGGUAAGGCCCUUUCGGGGGUACACGAGCGGCGAACGGGUGAGUAACACGUGGGUGACCUGCCCUCAGCUCUGGGAUAAGCCCGGGAAACUGGGUCUAAUACUGGAUAUGACUCCAUGACGCAUGUUGUGGGGUGGAAAGCCUUGUGCGGCUGAGGAUGGGCCCGCGGCCUAUCAGCUUGUUGGUGGGGGAUGGCCUACCAAGGCGACGACGGGUAGCCGGCCUGAGGGGGCGACCGGCCACACUGGGACUGAGACACGGCCCAGACUCCUACGGGAGGCAGCAGUGGGGAAUCUUGCGCAAUGGGCGAAAGCCUGACGCAGCGACGCCGCGUGAGGGAUGACGGCCU
rnacentral:rRNA from 1 species